GUGAAAAUUUUUACCCCGGGCAUGGCGCUUGGGCGUGCAUUGAGUCUACUUUAUUUAUUAUUAUGACAAUAAACAAAUAUUUAUUAUUUAUUUAAAUAUUAUGUCAUAAUAAUAAACAAAGUAGACUCUAUGCAUGCCCAUGCACCAUGCCCGGGGUAAAAAUUUUCAC